CGGAGUAGUAGUGAUGGCUAAUGGGGGUACUAUCUUACAAUGGGGGUAGCAUCAACCUCUUUUAUACUAAAUUCAGCAGCAUCUUCAUUGUCUGAAGGUGAAGGUGUGUGAGGAGGAUAUGUACUCAAAUUCUUCAUCCUUAUUCCCCAUGGAGGUGAGUCCUCUGUAGUUUCUACAUUUCUCCCCUUUGCAGACUUUUGUGCCUUUCCCCUUGAUGGGUACUCGUAUAUAUCACUGCUACUGG
rnacentral:lncRNA from 1 species